rnacentral:rRNA from 1 species
AGAGUUUGAUCCUGGCUCAGAUUGAACGCUGGCGGUAUGCUUUACACAUGCAAGUCGAACGGGCUUGGGGGCUUGCUCCCGAGUUAGUGGCGAACGGGUGAGUAAUAUAUCGGAACAUAUCCGGAAGUGGGGGAUAACGUAGCGAAAGUUACGCUAAUACCGCAUAUGCCCUGAGGGGGAAAGGGGGGGAUCGCAAGACCUCGCGCGAUUGGAGCGGCCGAUAUCAGAUUAGCUAGUAGGUGAGGUAAAGGCUCACCUAGGCGACGAUCCGUAGCUGGUCUGAGAGGACGACCAGCCACACUGGAACUGAGACACGGUCCAGACUCCUACGGGAGGCAGCAGUGAGGAAUAUUGGUCAAUGGGCGCAAGCCUGAACCAGCCAUCCCGCGUGCAGGAUGAAGGCCCUAUGGGUCGUAAACUGCUUUUAUACACCAAGAAAAAGCAGGACGUGUCCUGCCCCGACGGUAGUGUAUGAAUAAGCAUCGGCUAACUCCGUGCCAGCAGCCGCGGUAAUACGUAGGGUGCGAGCGUUAAUCGGAAUUACUGGGCGUAAAGCGUGCGCAGGCGGUUAUAUAAGACAGAUGUGAAAUCCCCGGGCUCAACCUGGGACCUGCAUUUGUGACUGUAUAGCUAGAGUACGGUAGAGGGGGAUGGAAUUCCGCGUGUAGCAGUGAAAUGCGUAGAUAUGCGGAGGAACACCGAUGGCGAAGGCAAUCCCCUGGACCUGUACUGACGCUCAUGCACGAAAGCGUGGGGAGCAAACAGGAUUAGAUACCCUGGUAGUCCACGCCCUAAACGAUGUCAACUAGUUGUCGGGAGAGGAGACUUUCUUGGUAACGCAGCUAACGCGUGAAGUUGACCGCCUGGGGAGUACGGCCGCAAGGUU